rnacentral:rRNA from 1 species
AUACGGAGGGUGCGAGCGUUAAUCGGAAUUACUGGGCGUAAGGGGUGCGUAGGCGGCUUGAUAAGUCGGAUGUGAAAGCCCCGGGCUUAACCUGGGAAUUGCAUUCGAUACUGUCAGGCUAGAGUAUGUCAGAGGUUGGCGGAAUUCCUGGUGUAGCGGUGAAAUGCGUAGAUAUCAGGAGGAACACCAGUGGCGAAGGCGGCUAACUGGGACAAUACUGACGCUGAGGCACGAAAGCGUGGGGAGCAAACAGGAUUAGAAACCCUAGUAGUCC